UAAACGACUCUCGGCAACGGAUAUCUCGGCUCUCGCAUCGAUGAAGAACGUAGCGAAAUGCGAUACUUGGUGUGAAUUGCAGAAUCCCGUGAACCAUCGAGUCUUUGAACGCAAGUUGCGCCCGAAGCCAUUAGGCCGAGGGCACGCCUCCCUGGGCGUCACAC
rnacentral:rRNA from 1 species